UUUAAAUGUUUUAUAGUUGAAGAAGGGACACUUCAGAAAAUACAUUCCGCCAAACACCCUGGAACCGUUAGACUCGGUCGCUCAGGCACGGCGUUUUAUCGAAACUGAAACUAACAUUCAGUAACAAAACGAGACACUCGUUCGGAAGAGGAUCCUUUCGCCAAUGGUCAUUAAUCUUACUGCCGCAAGCUAAAAGCCAAGUCGUUGCCGCUGCCGCCGUAGUCGUCUUCGCGAAAAGAAAAGCCAAAGGCUGCCGGAAUGCUUGACACGAGAUUAUCCUCGCCCCUGGCUUCUGGCAGUCCAACCGAAAACCAUGAAUGGGAAUAAGUUUAUUUUUUAUGCAAAACGAUUCAUCGAGGUUUAUCCUCCUCUCAACCCCCGAUGCUUUCGCUGCCGAUCGGUAGCGCUAUCUGUUCCAGCAACCUUUUUGACUGACUGAACUGGUGGCGAUGGAUUCAAGUUGAAAAAUCGAACCGAAUCGAAUCAUCUCGCAAAGGGCGAAAAAAAAACGAAACGAAACGAAAUAUACAUCUGUCCCGAGAAUUAAGUACUACCACAGAACCCCCCCCAAUCUAUUUGGUCGGGGCUUGAAAUAUCUUAGCAAGUUAAUUAAAUUGAACUUCACCAGCUCAGCCCGAAAGCAAUAUAAACAAAUAUCAACUCUCUGACAGCAUCUUCGAAGAACUCCCUCCGAAAACACAGCAAAAAAAAAAAGAAACGGGGUAGGUAAAAGUAUUUCGACUAUGUGCUUGGUGAAGAGCGUGAGACUUUUGCACAAACCAACCAACGUGCGUCAAAUUGCACUCAGACACGAACGAAGAGCUCGGUCGAAAUGUGACGAAAAAAAGAAGAAAAAAAAUGUUCCGUCCAGGU